rnacentral:lncRNA from 10 species
GAGCAGCCGGCCGGCCCUGCCGGCCCGGGGAAUGAGGGACUUAGCACCCGGGCCAGCAGCUGCGGAGGGUGUACUGGGUCCCCAGCAGUGCCAGCCCACCGGCGCUGCGCUCGAUUUCUCACCGGGCCUUAGCUGCCUUCCCGCGGGUCAGGGCUUGGGACCUGCAGCCCGCCAUGCCUGAGCCUUCCCCCGCCUCCGUGGGCUCCUGUGCGGCCCAAACCUCCUCGACGAGCGCCACACCCUACUCCACAGCGCCCAGUCCCAUCGACCACCCAAGGGCUGAGGAGUGCGGGUGCAAGGCGCGGGACUGGCAGGCAGCUCCACCUGCAGCCCCAGUGUGGGAUCCACUGGGUGAAGCCAGCUGGGCUCCUGAGUCUGGUGGGGACGUGGAGAACCUUUAUGUCUACCUCAGGGAUUGUAAAUACACCAGUUGGCACUCCGUAUCUAGCUCAAAGUUUGUAAACACACCAAUCAGCACCCUGUGUCUAGCUCAGGGUUUGUGAAUGCACCAAUCCACACUCUGUAUCUAGCUACUCUGGUGGGGCCUUGGAGAACCUUUGUGUCCACACUCUGUAUCUAGCUAAUCUGGUGGGGACUUGGAGAACCUUUGUGUCCAUACUCUGUAUCUAACUAAUCUGGGGGGGAUAUGGAGAAUCUUUGUGUCUAGCUCAGGGAUUAUAAGCGCACCAAUCAGCACCCUGUCAAAACAGACCACUCAGCUCUUCCAAUCAGCAGGACGUGGGUGGGGCCAGAUAAGAGAAUAAAAGCAGGCUGCCCGAGCCAGCAGUGGCAACCGGCUGGGGUCCCCUUCCACACUGUGGAAGCUUUGUUCUUUCGCUCUUUGCAAUAAAUCUUGCUACUGUUCACUCUUUGGGUCCACACUGCUUUUAUGAGCUGUAACACUGACCGCGAAGAUCUGCAGCUUCACUCCUGAGCCCAACGAGAGACCACCAGCCCACCGGGAGGAACGAACGACUCCAGAAGCGCCACCUUAAGAGCCGUAACACUCACCGCGAAGGUCUGCAGCUUCACUCCUGAGCCAGCGAGACCACGAACCCACCAGAAGGAAGAAAUUCCGAACACAUCCGAACAUCAGAAGGAACAAACUCCAGACGCGCCACCUUAAGAGCUGUAGCACUCACCGCGAGGGUCCGCGGCUUCAUUCUUGAAGUCAGUGAGACCAAUAACCCACCAAUUCCGGACACAUCAUCAUCUAACUAAAUUCAAGUGAGAAUGAGGCUCUUUGAUUAUGGUUCUGGCAAUGCAGACACCCUCCUCCAAAUUCUGUGUCUUACAGUCUGGAGCACUACGAACUACAAAGAAAAGUGCCUCUGUAAGAUAAGACAAGAAGACAACACAGAAGAGGAGAGUCCUUCUCAAGGUGCUGCUCACUCCUCAGUCCUUUAAUCCAGAAUUUUCUCAUUCAAAACACCCAAUUCUGGAAGCCAGGAAGUUCAAGAUCAAGAUGCCAAAACGUUUGAUUUCUGGUGAAGGCUCACUUCCUGAUUUGUAGACAACUGUCUUCUCACUGUAUUCUCACAUGGCAUAGAAAGCUGAGAGCUCUGGUCUCUUCCUGUUUUCAGAAGGACUCUAAUUUCAUCACAGCAGCUUUAUCCUCAUGGCUUUAUCUAUGCCUAAUAACCUCCAAAAACCCCUCCUGCAAAUACCAACACAUCAAGGGUUAGGACUUCAACAUACACAUGUUGACCAGAGAAACAAACAUUUAGCCUAUAACAAUGAUUUGGAUUUAUUUAUGGAGAAGGAAGCUAUAGAAGAAUAACUAAAAUGCAUAAAGGCAAAUUGAAUGUUCAAAGGGUAAGCAUGGGUCUGAUUGUUAAUAUCACUAUUAGCUCAGCUACAAAUGAGCAUCUGGAGCAAUAGCAUCUCUCUAGGUUUGAAGAGGUGAGCGGCGGUGCCUCAGCGAUCUCCUCUGCAGCAUAGGAAAUGAUGGCUGUUUCUUUCCGCUGGAAGCAUGGCCACGAAAGCCCUCCUCUGAAAGUGCUCUUGCUGUACUGACUUUGCUUGUCAACAAUGUGGCACUCCUCACUUAACAGACACUCCCUACAUCAGUAUUGGGUGUCCUCUGAAGGAAAACUGAAUCUUCCCCACCUCACUUUCCUCUUUAUGCCAUAACUGAGUUCCGGAAUGUGAAAGCCUACACUGCUGGAUCUGCUGUGUGGACUUGACCCUGACCAGGGAGCUCCAAAAACCGGUGAUGAUAACAUGAUGUAAUUGAGAGUGAAAGGAAGGCAACUGAGAGGAUAAGAGAACGUAAACAAGAGGUUACGGCACUAAAGAACCUUCAUGAAGCUAGGUCUCCAGAUUAAUCUACUGUCAGAUACUCGAGUCUUCAAGGUGAGAACAAGAGUUUGAGUGGAGAGGACCUGGUGAAAUGGGAGCAAAAGACUUUGACAGAGCUGAAACCUGCAGCAUGCAAUACUGAGAGGUGAAGGCAGCUGGACUUCCUGGGUGAGUGGGGACUUGGAGAACUUUUCUGUCUAGCUAAAGGUUUGUAAACGCACCAAUCAGCAAUCUGUAAAAAUGCAUCCAUCUGCGCUCUGUGUCUAGCUAAAGGUUUGUAAACGCUCCAAUCAGCACUCUGUAAAAACUGACCAAUCAGCGAUCUGUAAAACGGACCAGUCAGUGCUCUGUAAAAUGGACCAAUCAGCAGGACGUGGGCAGGGCCAAAUAAGGGAAUAAACGCUGGCCACCCGAGCCCACGGAGGCAACCCACUUGGGUGCUACUCCACGCUGUGGAAGUUUUGUUCUUUCCCUCUUCGCAAUAAGUCUUGCUGCUGCUCAGUAUUUGGGUCUGCGCUACCUUUAUGAGCUGUAGCACUCCCCACGAAGGUCUGCAGCUUCACUCCUGAAGCCAGCAACACCACGAACCUACCGGGAGGAACAAACAACUCCAGAGGCACCACCAUUAAGAGCUGUUAACACUCACUGCGAAGGUCUCCGGCUUCACUCCUGAAGUCAGUGAGACCUCGAACCCACCCGAAGGAAGAAACUCCAGACAGAUCUGAACAUCUGAAGGAAUAAACUCCGGACACACCAUCUUUAAGAACUGUAACACUCACCGCGAGGGGCCGCAGCUGCGUUCUUGAAGUCAGCGAGACCAAGAGCCCACUGGAAGGAACCAAUUCCGGACACAGUAUGAUAACCCCUAGCCACGUGUGGCUACUGAGCUCUUGAAAUAUGGCUACUCCAAAUUGAGACUUGCUGAAAGCAUAAGAUAGUCAAUUUUUCAAUGAUAGUAUGAAAAAAGACAAAGUAUUGAAUUGAUAAUUUUAUAUUGAUUACAUGUUGGAAUAAUUAUAUUUUGGAUAUAUUGGGCUAAAUGACACAUUAACUCAUUUCAUCUGUUUCAAUUUAAAAAAUACUGCUGCUAGAAAAUUUUUAAGGAAAUGUGUGGCUUCAUUUGUGGCUUGCAUUAUGUUUCUAUUGAACGGAUAGCACAGGCUUUGGGUCUAAGGGUAAAACAGAUAGUUAAGCAAACAAUUGCGAUAUGGUGUACUAAGUACUAUGGAAGGGAAAUAUAAGCUGUCAAUGGGAGAAAAACAUUACCUAAUUUAAAAUAGUAAAGAAAAGCUUUUCAAGAGGUGGAAUGUUUAAAUAUAUACUUAAAUAAUGGGUAAGAAUGGGCCAGAAAAAAAAGCUAGGGUAGUAUAUACUCAAAAGUAGAAAAACAAGAAUCAAGAAGCAAAACAUCUGCAUUUGAUAAACUAAAAGAAAUAUAAUGGCUCACACCUGUAAUCUCAACAUUUUGGGAGGCCAGGGCGGGUGGAUCACGAGGUCAGGAAUUCGAGGCCAGCCUGGCCAACAUGGUGAAUCCCCGUCUCUACUAAAAAAAAUACAAAAACUAGCCAGGCAUGGUGGCGGGCACCUGCAAUCCCAGCUACUUGGGAGGCUGAGGCAGGAGAAUCGCUUGAAACAGAAAGGCAGAGGUUGCAGUGAGUCAAGAUCACGCCACUGCACUGCAGCCUGGGCAACAAGAGCGAAACUCCAUCUCAGAAAAGAAAAAAAAAAAAAUUAUACACACACACACACACACACACACACACACAUAUAUAUAUAUAUAUAUAUAUAUAUAUAUAUAUAUAUAUAUAUAUAUAAUGUAGAGAAUAAUGAAUGAGAGUGGUAGGGACCAGUGAGGCAAGAAAGGGUUGGAGCAUCAACGAUUUUUAGAAGCACUGUAAGAAGACUGGUUUUUAUAGUAAGAUCAAUGAAAAGUCACUGAAGGAUUCUAAUCAGGUUAAGAUAUUACCAGAUUUCCUUCUUUGAAAGAUCAUUCUGGCAGUAAAACAGAAAAUGGAUUAGAGGAAAACAACACUGAUCUUUUCGAAGGUACUGAGCAUGAGGAUGAAAAACAUGCCUUUUGUCUUUGUUAUUGGUUGAAGGUGGAGGGCAAGGGAGGCAGAGGGAGCAGGAGCAAACCUUUAGAGAAAGCGUUUUUUGUGGUUUCUUCAAGAAGUGGGAGAGAGAGUAAACGGGUUUAGGCUUGGCUAGUUGAAUGAUUUCAGUGGGCUCUGAAUUUCAUGGCUGUCUCUAUUUGUCUGUUAUUAGGCCCUGGAGUGAUAGGGCAGCAGAAUAUCUACUCUGAACUAAGAGCAUAACAAAGGAGGUGGAAGAGGCGCCAGGAUAGCUCCCAUAUUUGGAGUGUUAUCAUUCAAGUACACACUGGCACCAGGGUCCCUGAGGCUUGCUCAUUGAGGUUGUCAACACUGCAAGAAGGAGUUUUUGUGGCAGAACAGACAUUGAUUGGAGAUGCUGGCAAGGCAGGGUGAAGCCAAGAGACCAGAAGAUGAUGGUCAUUGAAAAGAGAUUUUGUUACAGUUCAAGAGAAGCAAGCACAACAUGCCAUGCCUUCAUCUUCUGCUAUGAUUGUAAGCUUCCUGAGGCCCUCACCAGAAGUGGAUGAUGGCUUUACCCUUCUUGUACAGUUUGCAGAAUGUGAACAAAAGAAACUUCUUUUCUUCAUAAAUUACCCAGUCUCAGGUAUUCCUUUAGAACAAGGCAAAACAGAUUGGCCCGGCGUGGUGACUCACGCCUGUAAUCCCAGCACUUUGGAAGGCCAAGGCGGGAGGAUCACGAGGUCAGGAGAUCAGGACCAUCCUGGCUAACACAGUGAAACCCCAUCUCUACUAAAAAUACAAAAAAUUAGCUGGAUGUGGUGGCAUGCGCCUGUAAUCCCAGCACUGGGGAGGCUUAGGAGAAUCACUUGAACCCGGGAGGCAGAGGUUGCAGUGAGCCAAGAUCGUGCCACCGCACUCCAGCCUGGACAACAGAGUAAGAUUCUGUCUCAAAAACAAAACAAAACAAAAAAAACAAUGCAAAACAGACUAACACAGCAUUAGAAUAAAAAGACAGCAUUAGAAUAAAAAGACAUUGUUAAUACAAAGAGACGGCAAACAGAAGGCCGGAAAUGUGGGACUAAAACCAGGAGGACUUGGUCUCCUGGAAGACAAAAGAGGAGAUCUUUUCAAGGAAUGAGAACCAACACUGUUAGGUGAUUUUUAGGGUCAAAUACGAUAAAGGCUUGAGAUGGUUAAACUAAACAUAACAACGGGCAGAUAAUUUUAACCUGAUAUCAGUAUGAGUUGAAUUAUGAAGAGGAAAUCUGAUUUCUGAGGUCAGAGAAAAGAGGAAAUAGAAACAGUGGGCAUGUGCUCUUUUACCCUGAGAAUUCUACCUAUGCCAGCGAGGGAGGAACUUGUUAGCCAGAACAAACUGCCAUGUCCAGAAAAGAUUUUUUUAAAAUUUGUUCAUUUUAUUUUUAGUUCAGCUAGAAGGCAAAAAUUAAGCAUGUGUAAAAGCUUACAGGAAGGAAGACGUUUGUGGAGAGUGGUAGGUUAAAUAUACAGACAGGAAAUAAUCGGUUUUCUUCAGAAAAUGUGGAAGGCAAGCAAUGAAGGGCACACAUUUUUUUUUAAGUGAGCUUUCUUCAGUUCCAGGGGAAAAUGAUUUUAUUCUAACAGAAAACAAGAAAAAAACAGAUCAGAUGAAGGUUCAUAAAAAUUUGUAACUUUGAGGGCGGGAGACUGAGGGAGUGGUCUUCUGGCAGGUUUUAUUUUAUUCCUUUUUUCCCCUAAGAAUUAGAUAAACUCACCAGAUAAGAAUAAGGUAGGUGAAAAAAGGAUCCUAAAUUUAAGAAGAAUUUAGGAAGUUAGAAAUAGCUGUGUGGAGACUGAGAGAGACAGCCAAUUAGAGAAAUAAAUCCCCAAAAGGGUGGAGAGCAUCUAAAGAAUGUAGUAGGUAUAUUUAAAAUUUUAUUACAAGCUUUUUCUGCUUCUUAAAGGAUAAAAAAAACAAGUGUACUGAGAAUAUAUCAUUUCAAAUGAAACAGCAUAUAAAAGAUUUUCAUAAUAACUGUAAAAAAGAUGAUAUAGUUUUACAGGAUUAGGCAUCAGUAAUGAAGAAGAAUAUAGGCCAAAUCUGAAAGUCAUGUCCUCAGGAUGAAUCUUAAACACUUACAAUGUAUGUAACUCAUUCACAUCAAACCCAAGAAGUUAGAAACUGCUUUGAAACAGCACGUCAUAUAACUAGAAUUAUGGUUUUUCAAUUACAGGGGUUGAUUCUUAUAUUCAAUUUUAGUUGUCAUGGUGG